GGCUGUAAUUUAGUUCAAUUCAGAACUGCAGAUAGUACAGCUUCCACAGGAGCAAGGGAUGUCUGAGCACAAGUGGCUGAGUUCCGAGUGACUUUAUGAAGCACUUUCUACGUUCCUCUCCGGCAUGAAAACAGGAAUUCUGCACCUGCAUCAUGGACAGUCUGGCAAAAGCCUCUGCUCUGCCUCCGGGGACAAGAAACUAGAGCAAAUAACCGUUUUGAAAUUAGAUCCUGGCAAAAUUACCAACAAUCAAUGAUGGAUACUGAAGGGAGAUUGAUUUAAAUCUUCAAUGACAGUUGUACAGAAGUUGAAGAAACACGUCGUCUUUCCAAAGAAGAGUGAGUAGCUUGGUUGGUGGUACCCUAAAAUUAGGGCAUGAUUAAGGUACGUCAUUUCUUUUAGUUCAAUCAAAGUGCUUUGCUGUUUCCAUUUCAGAGAAUUUCUUAUUCUUUUUUUCAAUCUCUCUCUCUUCCUCUUAUUCCUCUCAUUAGUAGAUGUCUUUUAUAACUGAUGUCAUUUACUGUCCUUUCAUCAAAUGUAUGCCACAUCACUUAGGCGAACCAGCAGACAGGGCACCAAAAUACACAUUAGAGGAGACUGGCUUCCAUGAGACGCUUCGACUGUCUCAUCGGGGCACUUGUAAUAAGCAUCUUGGUGCCACUGAAUGCAAUGCUGUAUUCAAAUAAUAGCUUUCAUCUUCACUCUUUUUAAAUAUAAAAGUAAACCUUGAAGCCCUUUGAAGGACCUAACCAAACAACAUACCUAUGAAAAUAGAUCAGUAAGGCUUUGAGAAACAUUCUUAAGUAAAAUCUGUAAAGCAUCUUUGCAUUUUUUUUCAAGAAAGACCUCCAGGUAGAUGAUGGCUUUUAAUAAGACACAUGACAAUCUCAAUUACAAGAAUCAUUAGUGUGUGUCCUGUGCGCCAUUUUAUGUUCCCAGCAGGAUAUAUCUUUUCUCAUCUGGGGUUUCCAGGGCUGUCUACUGUUCUCUAUGUGUAAAACGUAUUUAAGUGUUCCCCCAAUGCUGCACUAAUGUUGAAACAAAACAAAACAAAAAUGAAGAAACCUUUGUCAAGUGGUCAGACAGACUGGAACUAGAGGAUUAUAGGUAAGAGAGAUAAAAUGAAGGGUUGAAAGCUAUAAUUUCUAUUUAUGUGGUGGCAACCAAAUCAGCUGUUGGAGUCAGGCAAUUUAAAGAUGUGGCUACUGGAGCUCAGAGUCUGGGAAGAAGACACUUCUGCGUCUGACAGUGAAUCAGGCUCCCAGUUUUGAAGAUGUGCUGUAGGUAGUUCUCGCUGAAUCCAUUUUCCAGUUAGUUUCUAUUCCCCGCCCCAUUCCUGUGUCCCCACACUUUCCACUUGAUUUUAUCUCUUUGACAAUUCUAUAUUUUACUUUCCUUCCUCUCAUUCCCCUUUUCCCACCCCCUUUUUUUACUGUAGUUCUUGGCCUCUGACUACUGUUCCAUGCUGGAUGUCCCCAGAAAAUAGAGUAUGUUUAAAAAGGAGACAGUGCAUCUCAGAAGGGCCUCCCCAGUCCACUAGUCCAUUUUUUAAUGUGUUGUGCUCUAUGGGUGUCAGGAUUAUUUGUAGAUGAAGUAAUUUGAGGCAUGAAUUUUGAUAGAAGCAGGAUCACCAACAAAAUGAUAAAUGUAGGUACCUGUCUACCUUGCAUAAUAUUCACUAUGAUCUUGAGAAUUUCAAUGUAUAAUUUGUCUUUAUUCUUAUUUUUCAUUAGAAUUAACAGAAUCUCAGAGCUGGUAGAAGGUAUAGAAACUGUAUAUACAACUCUCAUAUUCAGAUGAAGAAAAUGAUGCACAAAAAAUCAACUGUCCUAAGCCAUUCAGCUUGUCUAUAAGUGCUGUUGGCUUAAUUAUAGUUUUGCAUAUAUUUAGGCAAAGAAAAUACUUUCUCAGAAACUGGUUAGGACUGUUUGAGAAGAAAUAUAAUCAUCAAAAUAUAUUCACAGUAAAAUGUAACCGUCCAUCAUUCAACAUAGGCAAGAAUAUGUAUUGAAUUGCCUGAGUGUAUUAUUCAUAUAGCAAAACUUACUUGAAUUUCUAAUAAAUCUUCUGACCUCUGUAUAUGUAUAAAAUAUAUAAACCAACCAAAUUCUGUACAUAAAUAUAUUUUUGGAUCCCAGUACAAUCCCUAUUUCACUUUUGUGUAUUCCAGUUAUUUAUUACUCACAGUUCUGUAGUUUUAACCAGAACAAAGGGAUUACCCAGAAGAAAAGAAGGUAAGCUAUUUCAUCAGUUUUGGUGGAAAUCAGAAGUUUUUUUUUCUAUUAUUAGCUUUGUAUUCUUAAAAAAGAAAAAAGAAGGAGAAAAAAAUCUCAUCUUCUCAUUUAUAAGAAUUCCCAUAAAAAUUGGCAGUGGUGAGGUGGGGAGGAAAUGUUUACCAAUAAACAGCUAGAUCCUAUUAUUGGAGACAAUCAGUUUUAUUCUACAGAAAAUAUAGUUUGUUCUUGAAGAUUUAAUAGAUAUAAUAUUUUUUAAACCAACAUAUUAAAUAUACCAGUAAAUAUUUUUGUUAAACAAGGCUUUUAAAAUUUAAAUUAUACCCCUAAACUGGCUUUCUAGUUUUUCUGGAGAAAUAAAGCAAUUUUAAAGGAAAUAUCCACUCAGAUUAAUACUGCAAAUAUCAUACAAAAAUGUGUGUGGCGAUAUUACUGAAAAUGAGGAUUUUUGAAAACUAGAAGAGCAAAAAGUCGUUGCUCCAAAAGGCUUCAAGACUGCCUUAGGAUUAACAAUGCAAGUCUUCAAUGUAUUUAGGUAAUCAUAAUUUGAUUAGCUUUCUAAACCUAAACAUAUUUUGAUUCAAAUGUUUAAAAUAUGGUCAUCUCUUCAGUUAAAGAUGAACAUUUUGAUGAAAUAACAAUACUUAAAGCGUUCUCCGUCUCCACAAUUAAGUGCUACCUGUUAUUUAUUCAGAGCAUAUGUUUCAGUCUCAAAACACCAAGGACACAUCUCAGUGAAAUAAAAAUAAUCACUUUUUUUAAGAAAUCAGAAUCAUGUGGCAGUCGGCAGGCUUAAUUUAUAUUUUAUGGUCUCCAAAUUCAGAUGAAUAUCAUCAAGAUCUGAAUUGUCUCAAGGGCUGUCAUAAUUUAAAUAAUAAUAUAUCAAAAAUAUACACUACUAUCAUAUAAUUAAUUUGUAUAUAUGGAAAAUUGAAUUCUCUUAGCCAAAAAAGUACAGGGAAAUCAUCACAAAGGAGGAUGAACAUGAUUAUUUUUUCCUGUUACUUCUAUAGACUUCUCUGUAACAACUGAUAUGAAGAUAUCAUCAGAGUUUGUAGGUGUGCAGUAUCUGUGGUAUUAAUAAAGGUAUCUAUAAUCAAAUAUAGCAGAAAUAAUUAGGCUUCAUGCCAACUGCCUUUCCUAGAAUCUUCAGGGACAGGAAGUGCAGCUGUGUAUCACCUGCCCAUAUUCUACAAAUAGCACUGAAGGAUAUAACUCAAUGAAACUUGAAAUCAGAUUGCACAAAAAUACAUUAUUCCCAAUGUUCUAUUUUUAUAUUGCUAGAUAAAUUGUAAAUUCACAGCAACAUUUGUCUACUGUUAUCUUUAUGUUGCAAAAUUACACUAAAUUUUGAGUGACAUCUUUAGCCAGGGUAGCCUAGAAACAUCCUUUGGCUAACAAAUAAAAAGGUUAUAAUGUACAGUAGAGAAAACAUUUCUAGAAAAUAUGCCUUUCACUGUGCCUUUAAAAACCAAGAAUUUUUUAAAGGCACAGUGAAAGGUAUAUUUUGAUCAACAGCUUAUAUUGUUUAGAAAUUUGGCUGUGGUUUAGUAUUUUGUCAACUAAUUUUCAAUCACAAAGAAAAUUUAGAAAGAGAUGAAAUAGAAAUAAAAGUCUUAUUAGGAAUAGUAAUUAUAUAGAUAGUGAAAUGACUACUUUUUUUAUAAGGAGCAGUAAUUUCAUAAUGUAAUAACUUCCUUUUCAGUAAAAGAAAGUGAUUAACAAAGCUAAACAUUCACACAAGGCAAUGUACCACAUAAUUCAAAAUGCCAGUGCAAAAAUGUUAGUUAGUCAAUAAAGAUUCAAUGCUUGUCUGUAAUAAUUAGUCAUAGUUUCUGCACUUAGAAGGAAAGCUCUCCCCAGGAGUUGAGAAUUAGAGUGGAAGUGGAGAUUUUGAGUAUAAGAAAAGUGAAUUUCACUCAUGUUGCAGGGUUACACUGCUAUGAUGGAAGGCUUUCAUUUUUCAAGUAGGAAACAUGGAAAUUACAGUAACUAUGGCCAAUUCAUAUUGGCCUAGAGAACACUUUAUUUUUCUCUGGGCCCGAAUUUCUCAACAGGUGCCACUAUUGAUAUUUUGGACCAGAUAAUUCUUUGUCCUGAGGAAAUUUGCUGUGCAUUGGAGGAUUUUUAUCAGCAUUAUUGACCUCUCCCCAGUAGAUGCCAAUAGUAUCCCCUCCCACUAUGGUGAUAUCCAUAUAUUGCCGAAUGUUCCCUUGAGAACAAAAUCUGCUUAGAUUAUUUGUCUAGGCGAUUUUGCUUUCUUCAUUUAUCUUUAUGCAAAAUUAGUUUGAUUGGUUAUUUGCAUUCACAAUAAUAGGAAUUUUGCACAGAGAAAGUUUAUAUAAUAAGUUAAGAAUAGCUCUACAAUGCAAAUGUUUCUGCAGGAUAUAAAAAUAAGAAUCGCAAUGGUACAUUCAUCUCGAAAUAUUUGCUACACAACACACGUUGAAUGUUGAAAGAUGUUGAAUGUAGGCUCUUAUUUUGUGCCUUAUUUGAAAAAUUUGCAGUGUAAAUAAGGUAAAUAGAUGCAAAAUGUUUGCCUUUGGGUAUGAAAAAGUUUUCUUGUGUAUUAUAGUUAAAUAUGGUAAUAGGUUUUUAGAGGUAACUUUCUGUGGCAGUGAACAAAACAAGACCCUACUAUGAUGAUUCUACAUGGAGCUGAUUUUAACAGAAGAGUAGCCUUCAUUGUGCCUUUCCAUAAAUGUUGGCUUUAUCCAUGUAUUAAAGCACAGAUUUCUUGGGAGACCACAAAGAUUGAGAGUGAAAGAUAAAAUCUGAAGAGAACCUGGGAAAUCAUCAUUAAAUUGAGCUGAUAAUCAUGAUAAUCAUGUCUAAAAUAUGGACUGUUAACUUUUUUUAAACUAAGAUGAGAUGGCAGAGAAGCUAUUAACUUAAUAUGCCUCUCUCUCUCUCUCUCUCUCUCUCUCUGUGUGUGUGUGUGUGUGUGUGUGUGUGUGUGUGUGUGUGUUUUGGUGGAAAUAAAUUGAUAAGAAAGGAAAAAAUAAUAGUCACAUGGAAGCUUAGGAGGCAAGUCAAUAACAGAAAUAUCUAGGUAGUAUGAAAUCUUCAGCUUUACACAAUAGAAAAAAGUAUAUUAUAUGGAAUUGAUCCAUUAUUGUUUCAAAAAUGGUGAAAGUUGUUAAACCAGUAACUUUUAGCUUAGUUUAUCUGUUAAAAAAAAAAGCUACAUGAACAAUUCAAGAUUUAGUAAAUGUUGAAGAUUUCCCUUCAGUAUAAAUUUAUAAAUAUCUAAUGAGUGUGUGUGUUUGUGUAUAUGGCUUCCUCAUUGAGCACCUGAAACGACUUAGCUAAUUUGCCCUUCAUUCUUUAUGACUUUCAUGGAUAAUUUCCCAAAGCUCCUAAGGAUUAUUUAUUUAUUUAUUUAUUUAUUUACUUACUUACUUAUUUUUGGGACUGGUUCUCUCUCUGUUGCCCAGGCUGGAGUGCAGUGCCGUGAUUAUGGCUCAUUGCAGCCUCAACCUCCCCCACUCAGGCGAUCCUCCUACCUCAGCCUCCAGAGUAGGUGGAACCACAGGUGUGUGCCACCACAUCCAGCUAUUUUUAAAAAAAAUUAUUUGCAGAAAUGAAAUCCUCCUGUAUUGUUCAGGCUGGUCUUGGUAUCCUGAACUCAAGUGAUCCUCCCAGUUUGGCCUCCAAAAGUUUUGGCAUUACAGGCAUGAGCCACUUCACCUCACCAGGUCACUUACUUUAAAACUCUCUACUAGGUGAUGUGAAGGCCCCAAAAUUUAAAUCUACCAAUAUUUCUCUUUUAUUAUAUUUUUAAAAUUUGAGGUUUUAAUAAGCUAUCUAGAUCCAUGAAUAUUAAAAUAGAUUUUUCUUUUGUAGACCCAGCAUUGUUCACUGAGGAUAGAUGUGGGAUCAGUUCCUUUCAGGUAUUAAUUGUAAUGUUGCUAAACAUAUUACCAUGAAUCUGUAGUAUCAAAAUUCAGAUAUUAAACUUGGGAGGAUUUAUAGUCCAACUUGUAGUAACUAAAUAAUAAAAUGGUGGCAUGAUUAUAGUUCAAUUUUUUUCUUUAUGAAGAGCUUAGGGUAACAAUGCUUUGUUCCUGUAUGUUGCACUUUUAAAUUACAGUAAAGUCUUUCCCUGAAAACAAAUAAUACGGCAUGCAAUAAAGGGGAAAAGUGGAUAUGAGAACUUAUCCUUGCCAGUAUAUUUGAAAUGUGACUAAACAUUUUUACAGUGAAUAUGUUCAAAUUGAAAAGAAAUUACAAUUUCCUUUAACCAAGUACUGGGUCACUAUUUCUUCCAACUUAGUUAUUGAAGAAACACUCAGCUACCAUAGAUUUGCCAGGCCAAAGUAUCUCAAACUUUAGCUGUGUCAGAAUUACUUGGAGGGUUUAUUGGAAUGCAUAUUGCUGGGCUUGAUGUUCAGAGUUUCUGAGAACUUGCAUUCCUAACAAGUUCUCCGGUGAUGCAGUAGUAUAGAGAGUCAUUGUUCUGGAGACAUGCUUAAUUUUAGGUACAACUUAUUUUGACUUGAGAACUUUCUCUUUAUUAAAAUAGCAAAGGCAAUGUAGAUAAAAAUAAAUAAAUUGUAUUCAUUUGGGCUUUCUCAUUUGCAACAGGCCACAUCAGCAUUACCACUGGAAAGAAUGACUUAGGAGAGUGGUUGUUUUAAUGAGAGAUUCUUUACAUGCCACUGAAAGACAGGAAACGUUAAAAGAAAAACAAAACUGAUAAUCAACUCCUAAACGGGGAUUUGAAUUAGCUAAAAUCUUUUUUUUUUUUCAAAUGCCUACUACAAAGUCAAAGUUCAUUCUCCUAGACUAGCAAAUACUUUGUUAUCAAUAUUUGUUUAUAUUUUCCCAUAAUUAUCCUUAUUUCACCUGCCACAAAAGAAUUAAUCAUUUUAUGUCCUCAGUCUUCAGCCCUCCCUAAAGUACCCAAUAGCUCUUGUCCUUCUAUAAGUCAUCACCUACGUGUACUUUAAGACCCCACUAAUUCAAUAAUUUUAUUUAAACGUUGACAGGAUUCUAUUAAAUUUAAGGUAUAUUAUUAAUUAACCUAGAGGACAUCUGCUGUAGUGAAUAAAUUAUCCAUGAUUUAAAAGCAAAAUUCAAAGGUAGACAAGGCCACCUGCGGCCAUAGAGGCUGUGUAACUUCAGAAAGAACACUUAUGAGUUAAUGAUAGGAAUGGCACUCUCUGGAAUUGUACAAUCCAGUGUGCCUUAGUCAGAUAUAAUAGGUCAGGUUUAGCAAGACAGGCAUAAAGUUCUAGCCUUAACUUCAAAAUUCCAUAGAAUGUGGGAGACAUGAAAUAAGAAUGGCACAUGGGACUUUCGGCUAUUAGUUGACCAUGAAUAGCUCAGUGUGAUUCAAUAGUGAUAUGUAACUGCCCUCAAAAACUAUGAAAAGCUUAGAGUUUUAGCAGAGGAUGGUGUAUCUCUUAUGAGUGAGAUGAGAAGUCUCUCUCUUCAUGGCUGGUAGAAUGAAUCCAGAAUUGUCAACUUCACAUAAGUCUCAGAAUAUCCUCAACCCUGCCUUGUUUUAGGUGAAACUAAUGCACCAAUUAUUUCAUUCAUUUACAGAGAAACUUAAGCUAAUAUGUACAUUCAGUACAAUAAGUAAUACAGACCCCUCAACAGAAAAAAAACACCAGAAAUUAUCAAACUGAAUUUCUUCAAUUAAUUUCAAUUUAAUUUGUGUGGACAAAUAUGUAUUGGUUUUGACAAUAAAAUAUGUCAAAAUACUGUAGUGUUUAAAAUUCCCAUAUGGAAAUAUGGCACCAUGAUUGUAGCUUCUGAAUGAAAAACAGAGUUUUCAGUAAUUUGUACUCUUCUGACUACAUAGCACGGGAAGUUGAGAAAGAAAUUCUUCUAGGUUGAAUACUGGAAAAAUCAUCAUCUGUUUCCUCUACUCAGUCACUAGUAUACAAAGAAGGACUUAAGCAGAUUUGCUGAUUAAUUUAUCGGUAUCUAAACAUUUUGUUUUCUCUUAAUUCAGUGGAUGAGCUAUAGUACUGGAACAUUUAUAGCUAAACUUUGUUAUUUGGUUAUUGUCCUUAUAAAACCAACUUUUGCUGAUAAAACAUAUUAACACUUAUGGAUGCUUUAUAAAUCCGAUAAUACAGCUUUGAGAGCAUUUACUCUGUUUCCCACAAAUUUUAAUAAGCCUGGCCCAGCUUUUUCAACUGAAGCAAAUGUACAGACCUCUACACUUCAACAUGAAGACCUCCAGUUCACAAUGUGCAUAUCCAAAGCACUGAUACUAAUGCUGUAUCCAGAGAUUUCAAUGGGGAGGGUAAUCUGUAAUAACAAAAUUGUAUCCCUUCCUUCCUGCAAUUACCUCACUAUCCUCACAGCCUUGACAUCUGGAAACCCACUGCUACUGUAGCAGCUGUGACUCCUCUCCUAGCAGGAAGUUAACUACACAUUCCAAAGAGCACCAAUUGUUUUGAUAUUUUCUGGCAGCUCAAAAAGCUUGGAUAUUGGUGAACACAUUAUUUUGUGGCAACCACAUUUUGGAAUUAUACACAAAUGUACAACAUGUCACAAUCUGAACAACUUACAGGUGUUAAUGUUGUCUUUCUCUUAAUGAUAUCAUAUUCCAAAUUUAAUCAUUUUAAAUAUAGAGUAGUAUAUUAGAGAAUUAAACCUCAUUCUGCUCAUACUCACUUCUGCCAUCAUUUUCUCAAAUGAUUAACACGGAAGAAGACUUACCCAAAAAUAUGCUCCUAUUUAAGUCAUUGGAAGAGAAUUAAUUAAUUUGAGUUAGAAAGUAAGUAUUGUGAGAAUCAUCCUGCUCUGUAUUUGCCCACAUAGAACCUCUGUUAGCAGAGAUUUUCAGAUACUUAUUAAUUUUCUAGAAAUCGAGACCUCCAAAAGAAGAGCAGAACUAUUAAAUGUUGGGCAAAUCUAACUGCAUUUUAGUGUCACCAAAUGCCUAAAAUUAUUUUGUGUUUUUGAGCUGAUAAAUCUAUAUAUUGUUUAUUCAGAUUGCUCUUAUUCUUUAAAAAUAAUCAAAGGGAUGACUGCUGGAUUGAUUUACUGCAAAUUUAUCUUUGAAAUGGCUACAAAUAAUUGUUAUUCUCAUUUUAAGAGCAUUAGUGUCUUUUGUUCAUCAAAUUAAGAAUGAAAUGGAUUUUAGUACUGCCCUACAAUUACUUUGGUAAUCAAAAUGAUUGCCAAUGAUCUCCAAGAAACUAAACUGUCUUGCUACAGAACAGAUUGAGGAUUGUUUUGAUUCACAGAAAAGCUCUGCAAAAAUAUAAUUAAUUACAUAUGAUUUUGAUUUAGUUUAUAAUUUUAUUUUUUAUUUCUGUUUUCCCUCUUCCCUACAUUCUUUUAAAAUAUGGCAAAGUUUUCCAUUGUAUAUUUUUAUUUGACCUAAUUUCCAAUUAAAUUUAAUAUUUCUCCUUGCUUAAUUAUUUCUUCUGGAAUUUUACACUCAUAGUGAUUAAAUCUCAAUCUCCUCUCUCUUAUUAUCUUUCUUUUUUUAUUCUCUUUUUCUAUCACACACAAUUUAAUAGUUCAUCUUAAGUGAUUUCUGAUGCCUUGUAUUCAGUGACUCUAAUUUCUAAUAUCCUCUUCUUGUUAAAAAUAUUUUUGCAAUGUAUUUAUAAUAUCUUUUCUGUUACACUGAUUCUGUGUAUGUUUAAGCAUUUGAUCACUUUUAUUCAAGUGUUCCUAUGAUAACCAGAAGAUACUGUGCAUUCUCAUAUUAUUUUAAUGCUCCAAUGUAUACUGCAGGCUUAAAUAACCAUAAAAGCAAUGUUUGUUUAGAAAGUGACUGGUUUGUUUACCUUCACUGCUGCAGAAAAUCUCACUAGGCAAUUUGCCUGGGGCUGAUACUUGUAACCAUUAGCAAUUAUGGAUUCUAGAAAGACAUUGAUAGGAAGUUUUUAAAAAGCUAUUUCAAAAUCAGACACAAAAAAUACAACACAUUUUCUAGGAUUGUUUUUCUUGCCAUUCAUGCUGCUUGCCUUUCUUAUCUUAACUAAAAUUCACUUUUCAUCAGCCUGCAAUGAGUCACAAAAAAAUGCUGUAUCAAUCUUGGGUUGAUCCUGGACAUUCAUAGUCAGAUAAAUUAUUUUCAGAAUCAGCAAAGCAGAAUUAUUUUUAUAAAAUGGUGUCUUUACACAUCAUUGAUGUUUUGCAGAGGUCUGGACAAAAUGCCAGUGAUGUACUUUUAAUUGCCAAGCGAUCCACUUACACAAAGGAGACAUGGGCACACCAUUCUACCGUCAGGGCACUCAUCAUUUGACAUAUGUAUUGGACUUUAGGGGAAACACAAAGAGGAUGCCUGGGACACUGUUCUCAUCCUAUAAAGUCUUUACUAAUAAUAUGUCAAAGUUGAGUAAUAAUACACACUAAGUAAAAGCUUUUCAACAGAAGCAUCUCCAUUAAUCUCCACUUUGGGCCAGACAGCAAACGGAGCCUCUGUUUCUAUUAAAUACAAACUGAUCUGAAAUAUUUAGAACAAAGAAAGCACAUCCUUUCAGCUAAAAGUUAUAGAUAUCCUUUGCUACAUGACAAAUGGUUAAAAUUAUCAAAUAUUUAUAACAAUAUGAUUGAAGAGUUCAGUUACAGGCUUUGAUUUUGACGGUUUGCUUGUUGAUGAGUGUUGUGCAGAAAUGCCCAAUAUGUUUGAAUUGCUUCACUUUGAGCAUGAUUUGUGCCAGAAAUAGUGCUGAUUAAGCUGUUUUGUUUUCUUUUUCUUUUUUCCUACACAUUUAAAAAUCACUAUUUUCCAAAGACCUCUUGGUCAGAAACUUGCAUUUAAGAAUUUUGCUAUGCCAUAAUAUAAUAAAAUGUAUCAAGGCAGAAAAUAAAAUAAACAGAUGAUUUAUGCAUAAGACAUUUUGCCUUUAAGCUAUUCAAACCUGACUUUAGAGACGUUUAUUAUCAAAAGUUUCUCACCUGAUAACAUAAAUUUUGACAGAAUGGAAAUGUUAGUUUUGGCCAAUAAACAUACAGCCUUUAAUCAUCCCAAAAUUUUCACCUAGGAAAGAAACUGGAAAUAGUUCUUAAGUCUAAUUAGAAUAGAGAGACAAGUAACAUUUUUAAUACUAGAUUUAAUCUUGGCAAAAAUAUCUGUAUCUCUAACUCAAACUCACUAUCUACUUUUUAAAAAUAAUAUUGCUCAUCUUUUAAUAUAAAGGAGAAUCACCAUAUAAGCCAUUAAGACCCAAAAUACACUAGGUGCUGGAAACUAUCAUUGACAUACUGUCAUUCAAAAAUUACAUAUGAAUUUGGCAUAAAUGUAAUAGUUCAUGUACAAUGAGCCAUCAAGACUAUGUGCAAAUCCCAACAACUACUUCCUCUUUCUAGUUUUUUUAAAGAAAUAAGACAUAAUGAAUCUAUUAUGAGAAUCUCCCACAGUGUAGCUUCCCCUUAAUAAUGUAGUAUAUACAUUUAAAAUUACAAUGUAAUGCUUAAAAAUUGUUAGCAUUUUACAAUUUUUUAAAUUUAGAGACUUGAUCUGGAGAGCAUUGGUUGUGAUUCUGCAAAUCAUGCAGCAUAUAUUUUAUUACAGACUUUUAGCUGCUGAGGUUUCUUACAGAGGUCAAAUGUGUGUGUUUAUGUUCUGCUUAGUCUUAUGACAAAAUAUAUCACCAUUGCUUAAAAAGAAAAACAUAUAAAGAAGAGAACUACAAUGUUCUUAACUCCUAGCAUACAAAUGCCACUAAGCUGUCCACAUCAAGACAUUUGAAGUUAGCGUCUCAUCAUUUUAAACCCAGAUGUGUGUAUUUUGGGCACAUUUUUUUGAGCACUACAUAAUCAUAAUGUAACCUAAAA